rnacentral:rRNA from 1 species
GAUGAACGCUGGCGGCGUGCUUAACACAUGCAAGUCGAGCGGAAAGGCCCAAGCUUGCUUGGGUGCUCGAGUGGCGAACGGGUGAGUAACACGUGGGUGAUCUGCCCUGCACUUUGGGAUAAGCCUGGGAAACUGGGUCUAAUACCGGAUAGGACCAUCGUUUAGUGUCGGUGGUGGAAAGUUUUUCGGUGUGGGAUGAGCUCGCGGCCUAUCAGCUUGUUGGUGGGGUAAUGGCCUACCAAGGCGUCGACGGGUAGCCGGCCUGAGAGGGUGUACGGCCACAUUGGGACUGAGAUACGGCCCAGACUCCUACGGGAGGCAGCAGUGGGGAAUAUUGCACAAUGGGCGCAAGCCUGAUGCAGCGACGCCGCGUGGGGGAUGACGGCCUUCGGGUUGUAAACUCCUUUCGCCAAGGACGAAGCGUUUUGUGACGGUACUUGGAGAAGAAGCACCGGCUAACUACGUG